CACAUUCUGCAACGCGGGUGAAGAACGAUGUCAUUUAGCGCGCCGGUCAAGCCAAGCGUGUCGUGCUCCGGAACCUGUCUUCUGCAGGGUGUCUCGUCAUUUGUGCGUCGAAGAUCCGGGUUUUAAAGGACUGCACUGAGGAAGGACGUGAAAGAACAUUGAUCGGACGCGGACGCUCUCCCGAUGCCGUAUAGCGGACCUGCCCCAGGCUACAAUACGGAGCAGAUUCGCGGCUUGAUUCUCUUGGUUGUUACAACGUCGCCCUGCCGUCUCAGAACAUCCUUCGGACGUUCUGCCGGCCCAAACAACUUCAGAGCGGUCAGUCAACGUCCGUGGGACUCUUCGUGGUUUUGAGAAGCGAAGUGCGUCGCCCCUCGCUGGUGUCCACGCCUGGCGGUAGCCGAAAGCUGGACGGGAAGCGUGACAAAUGGACGAAAGGAACUUGCCCGACGCCUGCUAGUUGUUUGGAACGUAAGACGUUAAACAUCAUCUGUGGUAACCGCUGGUAUACGAAAUGCAAGUCUAGCGCGUCCAGUGCUGGUGACGCGUAGCUGGCGUUUGGAGACAAUUUGUUCUCAGACUGGCAUGUCCGUAUCUUGAGUACUGUACUCGAUAGAGCACUGCACGAGCUCCGGCUUACCCGAAAGCCCGGCCCA